rnacentral:snRNA from 1 species
UUACUUACCUGGAUGGAGUCAAUGGAUGAUCCUUAAGGUCCAUGGCUUAGGAUAACAACUUUCAUUGCACUCAGAAAGGGUGUUGUUCUAAGGUCUGUCCAAGUGACAGAGCCUAUAUCAUAAUUUGUGUUAGAGGGGUCUGCGUUCGCGCGACCCUAA